GACAAUAUGUCCGAGUGGUUAAGGAGACAGACUCGAAAUCUGUUCGGCUCUAUGCCUGCAUAGGUUCGAAUCCUGCUAUUGACG